rnacentral:rRNA from 1 species
AGAGAGAGACAUGCGCGCAUAUCAAUAAGCGGAGGAAAAGGAACUAACAAGGAUUCCCUUAGUAACGGCGAGUGAAGCGGGAAGAGCUCAAAUUUGAAAUCUUCAAGGUUCUACCUUGACGAAUUGUAGUUUAUAGAAGUGUUUUCUGUUAGUGGAGUGGCAAAAGUUCUUUGGAAUAGGACAUCAUAGAGGGUGAGAAUCCCGUAUUUGGUCAUUCCUCCUAGCGUUGUGAUACACUUUCAACGAGUCGGAUUGUUUGGGAAUGCAGUCCAAAAUGGGUGGUAAAUUUCAUCUAAAGCUAAAUAUUGGCGAGAGACCGAUAGCGAACAAGUACCGUGAGGGAAAGAUGAAAAGAACUUUGAAAAGAGAGUUAAACAGUACGUGAAAUUGUCAAAAGGGAAGCGUUUGACACCAGUGUUGUUUUUCCGAAAAUCAAUUACGAAUGUUUUGUUUUUGAGGAGUUAUGACUUCAUCGGCUUGCUUCUUUCUUUACGAAACUUUCUUAAUGCACUUUUCGGUUAACAAGUCAACAUCAAUUUCUUUUGUUGUAAAAGGGUAUGAGGAAGGUGGCUUUCUUUUCGGAGAAAGUGUUUAUAGCCUUGUAGCCUCUGCAAUCGGAGAGAUUGAGGUCUGCAGCGUAGAUCCUUCGGGGCUAGAUACAUUUGUGCUAAGUUAUAGCUUUUCAUAGACAACUUGUUGACUAUGUUUAGUCUUGUAGCUUACUCGCUGACGCUAUUUUACCUACGCUUAGGAUGUUGAUAGUCACAGCGUGUAC